rnacentral:rRNA from 1 species
UCGGGAAUUUUGGACAAUGGGCGCAAGCCUGAUCCAGCCAUGCCGCGUGCGGGAAGAAGGCCUUCGGGUUGUAAAGCUCUUUUACCAGGGACGAUAAUGACGGUACCUGGAGAAUAAGCCCCGGCAAACUUCGUGCCAGCAGCCGCGGUAAUACGAAGGGGGCUAGCGUUGUUCGGAAUUACUGGGCGUAAAGCGCACGUAGGCGGAUUGUUAAGUCAGAGGUGAAAUCCCGGAGCUCAACUUCGGAACUGCCUUUGAUACUGGCAAUCUAGAGUCCGGAAGAGGUUAGUGGAAUUCCCAGUGUAGAGGUGAAAUUCGUAGAUAUUCGCAGGAACACCAGUGGCGAAGGCGACUUGCUGGACUUAUGGUGACGCUGAGACGCGAAAGCGUGGGGAGCAAACAGGAUUAGAUACCCAUGUAGUCCCUGAGCGGGCUGGCAAGGCGCAU